CGCGGCCUAUCAGCUUGUUGGUGGGGUAGCGGCCCACCAAGGCGACGACGGGUAGCUGGUCUGAGAGGACGACCAGCCACACUGGGACUGAGAUACGGCCCAGACUCCUACGGGAGGCAGCAGUGGGGAAUCUUGCGCAAUGGGCGAAAGCCUGACGCAGCGACGCCGCGUGGGGGAUGAAGGCCCUCGGGUUGUAAACCCCUUUCGGUGGGGACGAAGCGAACGUGACGGUACCCACAGAAGAAGCCCCGGCUAACUACGUGCCAGCAGCCGCGGUAAGACGUAGGGGGCGAGCGUUGUCCGGAAUUAUUGGGCGUAAAGAGCGCGCAGGCGGCCACGUAAGUCGGGUGUGAAAUCCCGGGGCUCAACCCCGGGACUGCAUCCGAUACUGCGUGGCUAGAGGUAGGUAGGGGAGAUCGGAAUUCCUGGUGUAGCGGUGAAAUGCGCAGAUAUCAGGAGGAACACCGGUGGCGAAGGCGGAUCUCUGGGCCUUACCUGACGCUCAGGCGCGAAAGCUAGGGGAGCGAACAGGAUUAGAUACCCUGGUAGUCCUAGCCGUAAACGUUGGGUGCUAGGUGUGGGCGGAUAUUGACCCCGUCCGUGCCGAAGCUAACGCAUUAAGCACCCCGCCUGGGGAGUACGG
rnacentral:rRNA from 1 species